GUGUUCUCCAGAGUUUCCUUGAACACUUCAUUAGGGAUUAAUUUCUUUGUUUUUACUGCCCUGCUGAAGUGUUUGGGGGAACUCCCGGGUUUAC
rnacentral:pre_miRNA from 1 species